rnacentral:rRNA from 1 species
CAGCCGCCACGGGAACACGAAGGGUGCAAGCGUUAAUCGGAAUUACUGGGCGUAAAGCGUGCGUAGGCGGUUUGUUAAGUCUGCUGUGAAAUCCCCGGGCUCAACCUGGGAAUGGCAGUGGAUACUGGCAAGCUAGAGUGUGUCAGAGGAUGGUGGAAUUCCCGGUGUAGCGGUGAAAUGCGUAGAGAUCGGGAGGAACAUCAGUGGCGAAGGCGGCCAUCUGGGACAACACUGACGCUGAAGCACGAAAGCGUGGGGAGCAAACAGGAUUAGAUACCCCAGUAGUCCCUGUCUCUUAUAC